rnacentral:rRNA from 1 species
GGAGGGUGCAAGCGUUGUCCGGAUUUAUUGGGGUUUAAAGGGGUGCGUAGGCGGAUUGUUAAGUCAGUGGUGAAAGUCUACGGGCUCAACCGUAGAAGUGCCAUUGAUACUGGCAGUCUUGAGUACAGUAGAGGUAGGCGGAAUUUAUGGUGUAGCGGUGAAAUGCAUAGAUACCAUAAAGAACACCUAUAGCGAAGGCAGCUUACUAUGCUGUAACUGACGCUGAGGCACGAAAGCGUGGGGAGCGAACAGGAUUAGAUACCCUGGUAGUCCACGCUGUAAACGAUGAUGACUCGCUGUUGGCGAUACACAGUCAGUGGCCAAGCGAAAGCGUUAAGUCAUCCACCUGGGGAGUACGAUCGCAAGAUUG